UCAUUAGUUCUACACAACAAAAUCGCACCUUAAAACGCUAGUUAGGUCGAGAAGCUCGUCAGAGGCCGAGUCGGGUAGAAAUUGGUCGAGUCGAGAGUCGUAGUCGGGUAAUCCGAUAGCUCGGUCGGAUCAAAUUUAUUAGGUGGUCAAGGGUAGAAUCUAUUCUCUCGACAAUAAGGCUAAGGUAACCUUAGUUGGGAGACCUCAAGGAGAGCACGGACGUUGGGAACCGGUGAAGAGUUCGUUGUCUUUGUAAAAUUAGAUUUGUAAUAAUUGACUCGAUUUGAGCCUUAGGCUCGAGAUCUCAAUCCGUUGUAAGUGUUUUCAAGGUUUUAUUGAAUAAAGGAGAUUUUCUUAAGAA